AAUAAGCAUAUCAAUAAGCGGAGGAAAAGAAACCAACAGGGAUUGCCCUAGUAACGGCGAGUGAAGCGGCAAUAGCUCAAAUUUGAAAUCUGGCUCUUUUAGGGUCCGAGUUGUAAUUUGCAGAGGGCGCUUUGGUAUUGGCAGCGGUCCAAGUUCUUUGGAACAGGACGUCACAGAGGGUGAGAAUCCCGUACGUGGUCGCUAGCCUUUACCGUGUAAAGCCCCUUCGACGAGUCGAGUUGUUUGGGAAUGCAGCUCUAAAUGGGAGGUAAAUUUCUUCUAAAGCUAAAUACUGGCCAGAGACCGAUAGCGCACAAGUAGAGUGAUCGAAAGAUGAAAAGCACUUUGGAAAGAGAGUCAAAUAGCACGUGAAAUUGUUGAAAGGGAAGCGCUUGCAGCCAGACUUGCCUGUAGUUGCUUAUCCGGACUUUUGUCCGGUGCACUCUUCUGCGGGCAGGCCAGCAUCAGUUUGGGCGGUUGGAUAAAGGUCUCUGUCAUGUACCUCUCUUCGGGGAGGCCUUAUAGGGGAGACGACAUGCAACCAGCCUGGACUGAGGUCCGCGCAUCUGCUAGGAUGCUGGCGUAAUGGCUGUAAGCGGCCCGUCUUGAAACACGGACCAAGGAGUCUAACAUCUAUGCGAGUGUUUGGGUGUCAAGCCCAGACGCGUAAUGAAAGUGAACGGAGGUGGGAACCCUUUGGGUGCACCAUCGACCGAUCCUGAUGUCUUCGGAAGGAUUUGAGUAAGAGCAUGGCUGUUGGGACCCGAAAGAUGGUGAACUAUGCUUGAAUAGGGUGAAGCCAGAGGAAACUCUGGUGGAGGCUCGCAGCGGUUCUGACGUGCAAAUCGAUCGUCAAAUUUGGGCAU
rnacentral:rRNA from 1 species